UUAUGUACAUGCCUACAAUUUUAAUGCACUAGAUCCCAUGAGAACUCCACAAUUAAGCGUGCUUGGGAUAGAGUAGUACUGGGAUGGGUGACCUCUUGGGAAGUCCUAGUGUUUUACAUACU
rnacentral:rRNA from 1 species